rnacentral:rRNA from 1 species
UGGGGAAUAUUGGGCAAUGGGCGGAAGCCUGACGCAGCGACGCCGCGUGGGUGAUGAAGUUCUUCGGAACGUAAAACCCUGUCAGGAGGGACGAAGAUCUGACGGUACCUCCAAAGGAAGCCCCGGCUAACUCCGUG